rnacentral:lncRNA from 1 species
UGGGGACAUUGGGGACAUCUCAGAUACACCUCUGGGGACAUCUGGGACUUCUGAGGGACAUUGAGGACAGUGGGGGGACACUGGGGACAUUGAGGGGACAGUGGGGACAUUGGGGACACUGAGGGGAUAUUGGGGGGAGAUUGGGGACACUGAGGGGACAUUGGGGACAUCUCAUAUACACCUCUGGGGACAUCUGGGACUUCUGAGGGGACAUUGGGGGGACAUUGGGGACACUGAGGACAUUGGGGACAGUGGGGACAUCUCAGAUACACCUCUGGGGACAUCUGGGAC